GCUAACGAGCGCAACCCUACGCCGUAUGUUACAAGUGUCAUACGGGACUGCCGGUAAAAGCCGGAGGAAGGUGAGGAUGAUGUCAAGUCAGCAUGACCUUUAUAUCCAGGGCUACACACACGCUACAAUGGUCUGUACAAUUGGUUGCCAAGCCGCGAGGCGGAGCCAAUCCGUAAAGCAGGCCUCAGUUCAGAUUGCAGUCUGCAACUCGACUGCAUGAAGCCGGAGUUGCUAGUAACCGCAGGUCAGCAAUACUGCGGUGAAUACGUUCCCGGGUCUU
rnacentral:rRNA from 1 species